UGUGCUGGGAUGUACCUUCUCUUGUGUCCUGGUCCUGAGAGUCAUGAGACUGAGAGCAUGGGACAGAGGCAGUGAAUGAACUGGGCUUGGGAACACAUUUGUUUGCUGGGCCUCAGUUUUCCCACCAGAAGCCUGUCCGCCUGGGUUUUAGAAAGCCAAUCCAGGAGAACACGGGAGGUUGCAGGCAGCUCUGACCAGCUGUCUCUCCCACCCCUCGUUUCAGACCUCUCCAGAGUCCGCUGUCCUUCCACACAAGUCCUUGUUGUCCAGUCUGUGGCCCAAGCACCCACAGGGCAUGGUGGAGGCCUGAGGCAGCGCAGGUUUUGCUGAGGCCAUCAAAAAAGCUUACGGAGCAGGCUUGGCCAUUGGCCGGAAAUCAUUGGCCCCUGCUGGGCUCAUGCAAUAUUCAUGGAACCGGUGUGGGCUCCUGCAAGUUCCUAUGAGCAAUGGCCUCGCCCAUCUGAAGCUCAUCAAAGGACUGGUUCAAUAUCCUGGGCUACUUUCUGUUCAUUUUUCCUCUCCCCCGGUGCCGUCCUCCUUCUACCCUCCCCGACCGCCCCUCCUCUUUCUAAGCUCUUGGCACCAAGUAGCUAUGGAGACUCUGAGACCUGGACCAUCCCAAGGCUGUAGCUUUCUUCAAGGCUGCCGGGCUCUGCACGGUGAAAAGUCUGAAAGCUUUUUCUCUUCCAGACAUAAUUAUUAACCAACAUUCACAUCAGAUUCACAAUCAGAAAGCCAGGUGGUAAACAUUUACCAGCACACUACUGGAAAGGAGUGUCGAUGGACUGCUCCCUUGGGAUUACAGAAGAAAGAACGCUGUAGAACAUCUAUACGACUUGGCAAUCGGGGGCCUGAGGUACAGCUGAAGUACAGCUGUGGAAGAGGAGAUGCUAACUGCUGGGAAGACAGCAACACAGAUUUUACAGUCAGCAGCCAGAGACGACUCUCAGAACAGGAAUGUGAAAAAAUCAACCAGAUAUUCUAAACUGAAAUCUACCACUGGAUACCAACAAGGUUAAAUGGUAGAAAAGCCAUAGUCAUUUCUAAAUUCAAGGGUAGGAUUAAUACUGUAUUUUUGCAGUAUCUGAAAGUUCUGUGGCCUUUCUUAUACACCAGUUUAUGUGAUCACCAGAACAGAACUGAGGUUCAGGGGAAAGUUAGCUAUCAGCAUUGGCCCCAUUUUACAGAUGGAAAACUGAGGCAGUGGAAGGUAAAGUAGUUUGCCCACGGUUACUCUUUCUGCGUAAAUGGUUACCCUGGGACUAGAGGGGGACAGAGCUAUCACAGACUUGGAGGUCAGACACACCUUGGUUAAAAACUCAACCUUGACAUUUAUAUAACUUUGGUAAUGUUACUUUAACUUUUUAAGUCUUGCGGGGUUUUCUUUGUUUGUUUCUUCGUUUGUUUGUUUUUUAACUUACAAAAUGGGGAUGAUAAAGCCUAGAUCACAAGUUUGCAGUAAGGGUUAGUUUAAAGAGAUAAUGCUGCAAAGGACACGGUGCUUGGAAAGCCUUUGCACCUCCCACCAUGGUGUUAUAAAUUAUUUACAUUUGAUUUUAAAAUACCGUAUAAGGCUCUUUUGGCUCACAUAUUUACUUUUCUAAUUAUAUUUGUUGAGUUUAGGUAAAUUACUCUGCAUGGCCUUAGGCCAAACCAAUUUGAGGGGGUGGGGGCAGGGGCAGGGAGGAGGGAGAAGGGAAGAGGUGGGUCAGAGAGGAAAUCUGGUUAUGAUUCCUGUGAAGUGGAGAUGGAGGUGGAGCAUUUGGGCAGGGGGAAGAAUUGAAAUUUUGUAAAGGGAUCCUUCACUCACUGAUAAUGGGAGAGAAUCUGUAUAUACUAUCAUGUUCAACAAGGCCAUUCCGUGCAACAGAAGCUGGAGUUCCAGAUGGACUGCCUCUGCCUACAUCUAGCCCUCCACAUCACCACCAGCACAAAUGAGAAGGCUGAGAGACCUCUGGGCCCCCGAAACCCUCACAGCCUCUCCAGCACUCUCAGCCUUGGAACAGGACCCAUCCCCAUGAAAAGCUGAGGCCUCAGGCCAUCCUUCAAUUGCCAGGGCAGGGAGGCAGCUGCCCCCCUACUUCCCAGGGUUCUCACUCCUCCUUCUGGAUGGGUCUUUCUACUUAGAGCUUGUCAGCACGUGGCACGCUAUUAAUUCACUAGAUGGUAACCUCUGUGAGGGCAGGGGUUUUUAUUUAUUUCAUAUGGGACCUAGAACAGUGCUAGAGACACAGAAGGCUCUCAAUACAUAGUGGCUCAAAGAAGAGAGUAAAAUGAAUCAUCCUCAUCUUUUGUUUUCUCUUUCAAUUAACAAUCCAUUCUUUGAUCAAGCUCAACAGGUUCAGAUUUGGCUCAGGGCUCACGGGUGUAAACUGAGGAGGUAAGGGUGUUGUCAAAGUCUUGAGGGGGGUGCUCGCUGCAGAAACAGCAUCUCUGAGGAUGGUCCAUCGACCAGCCAACAUGGACUGAACAAGGCAAGGCAGUGGAGCUCAGUGGUUAAGAACGUGGUAGUUCAAAUCCAGGCCCUGCCAUUUAUUAGCUAUGUAACCUUGGGCAAGUUAUUUUAUCUCUCUGAGUCUCAUUUUUCUUAUCUGUUAAAUGUGGAUAAAAAUAUCCACCUCUUAAAGUUGUAGUGCGGGUUAACGAGAUAAAGCAUGGCUAGUGCUUAGCACAGAGCCUGGCACGGGAAAGGGAGCCAGUAUUCAUGGCCCUGUAGAGGUGGAGGUGGAGGUGGACCAUUUGGGAGGGGGAAGAACACAGCUGGAAGAGCUGGGAAAGGGCCGACCUGCAAAAGACCUCUGUGUACCCAGAUGGCAUCUUAUCAGCCUGCAAUGGGGCCCUGCAAAGAGGCCUACAGCAGUAACACCUACCCAAGAGGACCUGGCUGUGUCAUGGGGACUGACACGGUCAUGGCCCUAGCUAGAUCCAGAGAGCCACUGAAAUGAUGCCAAUGCUUUACUGUAGAGAUGGUGUCUUCCUUUGGGCAAAAUAACCACAAACACGCCUCGACACGUAAGACAGUAUACACAGGGGAGGACACCCACGCUGAAGCCAUGCCCAAGAAUAAAGGACACAAGGACUUAUAUGAUACCCUGAGUUGAGAACUACAGGGUUUAGAACCAAGGAGGAGCAAAAGCGCAAAUGGGUGAGGUGGUGUAAUUUUCCUUCCAGGAAGAUAGCUGUGGUUUCAUUACAGGAGAUGGGCUUUCAGGGGGCAUCGAAAGGAGAGGGGGUUGGAGGAAAAGAGACACUACACAGUGGGAGGCGCAUGUAUGAAAAUGUCAUGUCUGAUGAGAAGAGCCGGGGCGGGAGCAGCAGGGCAAUGGCAGGGUGCACAGGGAUUCUCUCCUGCCUCCAGACAGGGCUCGAAUGCAUCCAUCACUGGGCACAUGAAUAGUCUGACCUGGAUACCAAGGGGCUCCUCUGAGCUUGUUCCCAGGGGGACCCUGAUUUAGACUCAACAAGUUCCCAUUUUACUUGAUAUUUUAAAUGGCACAGGUACUCAAAACAGCAUGGUGUACUGGAAGAUAGACCUGGCAUAGGGGCCAGUAGACUUGAUUUGAGGUUCCAGAAAUCAUUGUCCAGGUUUAAUUUUGAGGCUCAGUUUCCUCAUCUGUGACAGGGAGGAGCAUAGUCCCCUCACAGGCCCCUGGUGAUGAACCUCUGGGGCCUUUGGCUGUGGGAGCUCCAUGCUUUGUGCUUCCAAGGACCACUCGCUUCAGCAGGACUCCCCCACCUCCCCGGCCUAGUGUGGCCCUGCAAGAAGAGCACAGCUUCUCUGGUUAAUCCUGACCUCACCCUGGCCCUGCCUGCGUGUGGAGACACAGUCCCUGGACGCUGGGCGGGGACGCCUGUCAUUCAGUCAGUGCAGCUCAGGCGCUAAGCGCAUAAAUGGAUGCCUGCAAAACACACUGGGCUCUUUGCUUGAAAGCCACCAGCGCGAGACAAAGGAUGACUUCCCUGGCUGCAUUCCUCAGCAGGGGGCUCGCCACGCCUGCCUCCUCCAGAAGUGCCUGUGCAGGUGUAGACAUGUACACCUUCCUGAACGCUAGCUCUGCCCCACCUAGUGUGCAAUGCAGAUGCAAAUUCCACUCUCUUGCAGCUACCUCUUGCAACUGCAGGCAUGUCACGUAGCCCUAAUUCCCCGGCUUCAGUUUCCAGAGCUACAAAGCAGGAGCCAUAGGCACUCUAAACUCCCUGCCUUCUA